rnacentral:rRNA from 1 species
AUACGGAGGAUCCGCGCGUUAUCCGGAUUUAUUGGGUUUAAAGGGUGCGCAGGCGGCCAUUUAAGUCAGCGGUUAAAUCGUGGGGCUCAACCCCAUUCUGCCGUUGAUACUGGGUGGCUUGAUUGCGGUCGAGGUUGGCGGAAUUCGUUGUGUAGCGGUGAAAUGCAUAGAUAUGACGAAGGACACCGAUUGCGUAGGCAGAUGACCAGAGCGCAAAUGACGCUCAUGCACUGAAGUGCGGGGAUCGAACAGGAUUAGAUACCCGGGUAGUCCGCACAGUAAACGAUGAAUACUUGUUUUCGGCGAUAUAAUGUCGGAGGCAAAGCGAAAGCGAUAAGUAUUCCACCUGGGGAGUACGCCGGCAACGGUGAAACUCAAAUGAAUUGACGGGG